rnacentral:antisense_RNA from 1 species
CAAAGGCAUCUGAGUGGUAAGAGCAUCCGGAGCCCAGGACUGCUGAGUCAACCCUCUGGAAUGCCCACAACUCCCCACUUGGGACUUCCGCACAGCCACGUGAGCCGGUGGAGCCGGGUCUGUUUGCUAGUGGAGGCUGUUAACAGCACGGGAAGUGGUCAAGGGUUCAACAAGAGAUGAGCCAUCUGGUCCUCCAGAGGUGGAGGAGGCACGUGACCCACAUGGUCUGGCCACUGAUGACUGAACAAGCUAUGGACACUGGACCCAGGAGAGACCAUUCACUCACUGGCCAUGAACAUGACUUCAGAUACACGCCCCAAAAGGAUGAGCCUGGGUACUGGAUUCCCUCCUUCAGAAACAUGAAUCAAGAGACACAGGAUAUUCCUAUUGGUCCAGAUACUUGAGCUAAAAGUCCAUAGAUAUGUGGAUGUGGGGUGGUCAUUCUGGGAGUACAUCCAUAUAGAAAGAGGAGCAGGUGCUGUGGGAUUCUGGAUCCCAGUGAUAGAGCUAAAUGGCUGGAUCAAGCUUCACCUGAAACCCACUCUACUUGUCUUAGUCCAUUUUGUAUUGCUAUAAAAGAAUACCUGUGACUGGGUAUAAAGAAAAGAGGCUUAUUUCA